rnacentral:lncRNA from 1 species
GCGGCGGGUGGAACUUUUGGCUGCCCGCCGGCGACCGCCCGCGCAGUGCCUCCUCUCCCGCUGCCCCUUCCUCUUUUCUUUCUUCUUGCGCCGGCGUCGACUUCGGCCGGAGGCCGCUCGCUGGCGCCUCUUGUUUUCCACCGGCAACUCUCGCCGCCGGAGUCCAAGGAAGCUCUUCUCGUGGCGGCGGCCUUGGCCUCUUGCCUCUUGGUCAAGUGGUCAACGGCAACGCCCUUUUCCCGGCGUGGACCCUCCUUGACGGCGACCGACGGCGCCGAGGUGACGGCAACCGGCAGCAGCCGCAGGCACCACACGGGUAAGAUGUUCUUUUCUCUUUUAGGUUAGGGUUUGCCUCGUUUUGAUUUCUUUCUUUUUCUUCUUUCUUUUUCUACCCGACCGGAUCUACACGCCCAACUUGCUCUGAUACCAUUGUUAGGGUCCUAGAAACAUCUAUGUGCAAAUCUAGUCCGGUAGGAAACUCUUUCUGUGAUUCAUAUUGGGAUUCGGGAUUGAGAGAGAGAGGAAGAGGGAGGUACCUUCUCCUUGGCUAGACGAGGACGCCGGCGCGGACGACAUGGUCGACGGCGAGGGAGCGACAGCGACGGGGAUCGACGGUGGCGGGAGGCAGAGCUUCCCGUUACUCUUGCGCGGAACCCUAGAUCGGUAGGGGUUUGUUAGGUGGGGUGUGCGGCACAGCGACGAACCUUGUAUUGCGUGCCGCCAGCCCCCACCUCUUUAUAUUGCGCAGUGUAACAGGGGCCCGCCAAACAUAAUGGGUUGGGCGUCCCCGAUCAGGGCGCCGUGGAUCUAAUGGCCCGGUGGGCCCACACGGGUGG